rnacentral:rRNA from 1 species
AUUGAACGCUGGCGGCAUGCUUUACACAUGCAAGUCGGACGAGUGGCGAACGGGUGAGUAACAUAUCGGAACGUACCGAGUAAUGGGGGAUAACUAAUCGACAGAUUAGCUAAUACCGCAUCUUCUUCUAGCGGCCGAUAUCUGAUUCGCUGGUUGUUGGGGUAAAGGCCUACCAAGGCGACGAUCAGUGGCGGGUCGGAGAGGGUGAUGCGCGACACUGGGAAUGAGACACGGCCUCGCCUCGUACGGGAGGAAGCAGUGGGGAAGUUGGGACGAUGGGAGCAAGCCUGAUCCAACCAUGCCGCGGUGCUGAAGAAGGCCUUCGGGUUGGAAAGGACUUUUGUCAGGGAAGCGGUACCUGAAGAAUAAGCACCGGCUAACUACGUGCCAGCAGCCGCGGUAAUAC